rnacentral:rRNA from 1 species
AUUGAACGCUGGCGGCAUGCCUAACACAUGCAAGUCGAACGGUAACAGGCCUUCGGGCGCUGACGAGUGGCGGACGGGUGAGUAACGCGUGGGAAUCUGCCUAGUAGUGGGGGACAACCUGGGGAAACUCAGGCUAACACCGCAUACGCCCUACGGGGGAAAGCAGGGGAUCUUCGGACCUUGCGCUAUUAGAUGAGCCUGCGUCGGAUUAGCUUGUUGGUGGGGUAAAGGCCUACCAAGGCGACGAUCCGUAGCUGGUUUGAGAGGACGAUCAGCCACACUGGGACUGAGACACGGCCCAGACUCCUACGGGAGGCAGCAGUGGGGAAUAUUGGACAAUGGGGCAACCCUGAUCCAGCAAUGCCGCGUGUGUGAAGAAGGCCUGCGGGUUGUAAAGCACUUUCGGAUGGGAAGAAAAGCUCAAGGCUAAUAUCCUUGAGUCUUGACGUUACUAUCAGAAGAAGCACCGGCUAACUCUGUG